rnacentral:rRNA from 1 species
GGGGACCGCAAGGCCUCAUGCUCAUGGAGCAGCCGAUAUCUGAUUAGCUAGUUGGUAGGGUAAAAGCCUACCAAGGCAACGAUCAGUAGCUGGUUUGAGAGAACGACCAGCCACACUGGAACUGAGACACGGUCCAGACUCCUACGGGAGGCAGCAGUGGGGAAUUUUGGACAAUGGGGGCAACCCUGAUCCAGCAAUGCCGCGUGAGUGAAGAAGGCCUUCGGGUUGUAAAGCUCUUUUGUCAGGGAAGAAACGGCGCCGCCUAAUACGGGGUGCUAAUGACGGUACCUGAAGAAUAAGCACCCGGCUAACUACGUGCCAGCAGCCGCGGUAAUACGUAGGGUGCAAGCGUUAAUCGGAAUUACUGGGCGUAAAGCGUGCGCAGGCGGUUAUAUAAGUCAGAUGUGAAAUCCCCGGGCUCAACCUGGGAACUGCAUUUGAGACUGUAUGGCUAGAGUGUGUCAAAAGGGGGUAGAAUUCCACGUGUAGCAGUGAAAUGC